rnacentral:rRNA from 1 species
AGCUCGUGUCGUGAGAUGUUGGGUUAAGUCCCGCAACGAGCGCAACCCUUGUCAUUAGUUGCCAUCAUUUAGUUGGGCACUCUAAUGAGACUGCCGGUGACAAACCGGAGGAAGGUGGGGAUGACGUCAAGUCCUCAUGGCCCUUAUGGGUAGGGCUUCACACGUCAUACAAUGGUCGGUACAGAGGGUUGCCAAGCCGCGAGGUGGAGCCAAUCCCUUAAAGCCGAUCGUAGUCCGGAUCGUAGUCUGCAACUCGACUACGUGAAGUCGGAAUCGCUAGUAAUCGCAGAUCAGCAUGCUGCGGUGAAUACGUUCCCGGGUCUU